AGUGAACGCUGGCGGCAGGCCUAACACAUGCAAGUCGAACGGCAGCACAAGAGAGCCUGCUCUCUGGGUGGCGAGUGGCGGACGGGUGAGGAAUGCAUCGGAAUCUGCCCAUUUGUGGGGGAUAACCUCGGGAAACCGGGACUAAUACCGCAUACGACCUACGGGUGAAAGCAGGGGAUCUUCGGACCUUGCGCAGAUGGAUGAGCCGAUGCCGGAUUGGCUAGUUGGAGGGGUAAAGGCCCACCAAGGCGACGAUCCGUAGCUGGUCUGAGAGGAUGAUCAGCCACACUGGGACUGAGACACGGCCCAGACUCCUACGGGAGGCAGCAGUGGGGAAUAUUGGACAAUGGGCGCAAGCCUGAUCCAGCCAUGCCGCGUGUGUGAAGAAGGCCUUCGGGUUGUAAAGCACUUUUGUUGGGAAAGAAAAGCAGCCGGUUAAUACCCGGUUGUCAUGACGGUACCCAAAGAAUAAGCACCGGCUAACUUCGUG
rnacentral:rRNA from 1 species